UCACUUCAUUAAGAGGUGUGUAUCCAAGUACAUUCCCGUGGAAAAGGGGUUUUCUGCUGGACUAAUGACAGUCCUCU
rnacentral:misc_RNA from 1 species